UUUCAGCUGACGAGUCCCAAAUAGGACGAAACGCCCAUACUGGAU
rnacentral:hammerhead_ribozyme from 1 species